rnacentral:rRNA from 1 species
CCUACGUGAGGCAGCAGUGGGGAAUAUUUCGCAAUGGGCGAAAGCCUGACGCAGCGACGCCGCGUGAGGGAUGAAGGUCUUCGGAUCGUAAACCUCUGUCAGCAGGGAAGAACGGUCACUGUGCUAAUCAGCAGUGAAUUGACGGUACCUGCAAAGGAAGCACCGGCUAACUCCGUGCCAGCAGCCGCGGUAAUACGGAGGGUGCGAGCGUUAAUCGGAAUUACUGGGCGUAAAGCGCUCGUAGGCGGUAUGUCAAGUCAAGGGUGAAAUCCCCGCGCUCAACGUGGGAACUGCCUUUGAAACUGGCAAACUGGAGUGUGUGAGAGGAUAGUGGAAUUCCAGGUGUAGGAGUGAAAUCCGUAGAUAUCUGGAGGAACAUCAGUGGCGAAGGCGACUAUCUGGCACAUAACUGACGCUGAGGAGCGAAAGCGUGGGUAGCAAACAGGAUUAGAUACCCCGGUAGUC